UGGUGGAGAGUGUGGCAGAGCCAGACCAGACGAGGACUGAUCACCUGGAGAAGCAUGCUGUCAAAGGCCUUGAGACAGGGUUUCACCAUGUUGACCAGGCUGGUCUCAAACUUCUGACCUCAAGUGAUCUGCCCACUUUGACCUCCCAAAAUGCUGGGAUUACAGACAUGAACCACUGUACCCAGCCCCUUGAGUUCUGAAGGCCAGAAUUCUAAAGUCAGUCCCACUGACUCAAGGUGGGAGCAGGGCAGGCACC
rnacentral:lncRNA from 1 species